GACAAGGAUUUUGAAUAAUAUCACCUGUCCUCCAUUUAAACCCAAAUAAUGAAAGACCCCCAGAGUGGGGAGACCCUCACUCAAAUCUCGGGAUGAUGCGACCCCCUAAGAACUCACACAAGACC
rnacentral:pre_miRNA from 14 species